rnacentral:rRNA from 1 species
GUCUAUGGCCAUGCCACCCUGAACAAGCCCGAUCCCGUCUGAUCUCGGAAGCUAAGCAGGGUCGGGCCUGGUUAGUACUUGGAUGGGAGACCACCUAGGAAGACCAGGUGCUGUAGGUG